rnacentral:misc_RNA from 1 species
AUGAAGAACGUAGCGAAAUGCGAUAAGUAGUGUGAAUUGCAGAAUUCAGUGAAUCAUCGAAUCUUUGAACGCACAUUGCGCCCUUUGGUAUUCCUUAGGGCAUGCCUGUUCGAGCGUCAUUUAAACCUUCAAGCUCAGCUUGGUGAUGGGUGACUGUCCUCCCCUCGCGGGGGGACUCGCCUCAAAAACAUUGGCGGCCGGUACAUUGGCUUCGAGCGCAGCAGAAACGCGGUCUCGAGCCCGGUGGAUCGGCUCCCAUAAGUCUAUUCUUUUAUUUUGACCUCGGAUCAGGUAUGGAUACCCGCUGAACUUAAGCAUAUCAAUAAGCGGAGGA